UUCAUGAGUUUCCAACUUGGGCCAAGAUAACAGAUUUAGUUAUUGCUACAUCUAUGUGGUUAAUCAUAAACUGCAAAGCCUGUGACUGAAUAUAUCAAUGCAGUUCAUCACCUGGGGAAAAAAAUGAUCAGCUGCCCAUUAUAAAGAAUAAGAAUUAAGAGCACACUGAAGCUUUUUUUUUUCGUAUAGAAGCCUUGCUUGGAUUGGCUUAGAAAUUAGAAUUCAACUAGAACUAGCAUAACAUUGUGGACCACAGGCAAUCCAAGCUUCAGCUACUUCAGCUUAUGUGAAUGCCCUUCUAAAUGCCAUCCAAAAGAGUAC
rnacentral:misc_RNA from 1 species